rnacentral:rRNA from 1 species
GUGAGGAAUAUUGGACAAUGGAGGAAACUCUGAUCCAGCCAUGCCGCGUGAGUGAUGAAGGCCUUCGGGUUGUAAAGCUCUUUCGGGUGUGAAAAUGAUGAUGGUAACACCAGAAGAAGCCCCGGCUAACUCCGUGCCAGCAGCCGCGUUAAUACGGAGGGGGCGAGCGUUGUUCGGAAUCACUGGGCGUAAAGCGUGCGUAGGCGGUUAUACAAGUCAGGAGUGAAAUCCCAGGGCUCAACCUUGGAAUUGCUUUUGAGACUGUAUGACUAGAGAUCUAGAGAGGUUGGGGGAAUUCCGAGUGUAGAGGUGAAAUUCGCAGAUAUUCGGAGGAACACCAGUGGCGUAGGCGCCCAACUGGCUAGAUACUGACGCUGAGGCACGAAAGCGUGGGGAGCAAACAGGAUUAGAAACCCGUGUAGUCC